rnacentral:rRNA from 1 species
UGGGGAAUUUUCCGCAAUGGGCGAAAGCCUGACGGAGCAACGCCGCGUGAGGGAUGAAGGCCUCUGGGCUGUAAACCUCUUUUAUCUAGGAAGAAGAUCUGACGGUACUUGAUGAAUAAGCCACGGCUAAUUCCGUGCCAGCAGCCGCGGUAAUACGGGGGUGGCAAGCGUUAUCCGGAAUUAUUUGGCGUAAAGCGUCCGCAGGCGGUCUUGUAAGUCUGUCGUUAAAGCGUGGAGCUUAACUCCAUUUCAGCGAUGGAAACUGCAAGACUAGAGUGUGGUAGGGGCAGAGGGAAUUCCCGGUGUGGCGGUGAAUUGCGUAGAUAUCGGGAAUAACACCAGUGGCGAAGGCGCUCUGCUGGGCCAUAACUGACGCUCAUGGACGAAAGCCAGGGGAGCGAAAGGGAUUAGAUACCCCUGUAGUC